AAUUAUAUUACGUAUUAGAAUAUCACUGAAUAAUAGAAAUAGGAGGUCUCCUAUAGGGGACGGAAUACAUACUCGGUCUUUCCUUGCUGGACCGCCGAGUCAGAAAGACAGUAAAAGUUAUAUUCAGUGAAGUGAGAUCGUGAGCGAAUAAUAUUGUUAAUCUAUUUUUCAGAGGUUUGCUACCUUUACGUUUCCUAAAUUGAUCAAAACGUGAGUCGUGUGAGAAUCAAAACCGAUCAUUAAUUAGGUAACAACUAAAGUGAAUCGUGAGGAAAACUGGAGAAAAUACAACAUUGUGGAAAAAGGGAAGAAUCGAAAGCUCGUGUGCGCCGGCGGUCAGCCGAUUUGGGGUUAUCCAAGAUACGGCACCCCACCGUUAAAGAGCAAUUCGGUGGAUGUAGUGGAAGGAAGCUGGAUCAGUCCGCCUGGGUGCGCCCUAUCGUCUUGUGGCGCCGCGCCGUCAUAGGCCACUUGGAGAGCGUCGGCCAACGGACGAAUCUCGGCCUCGCCUUUCCACCUGCCAUCACGGUGGUUCCUCACUUCUUGCAAGUAGCGUCUAGCAAGGGAAAGAUUGCCACGCCAGCGUGAUUGAUCCUUUUGCUGACGGGCUUCCCAUCGUCUAGAUCUGUGUCAUCCUGCCACACAACAACGUCGGUGUCCCUUCGCUCAACGUCGCUAUUGCUUCGACGACGACGCUGAACACGUGCUUCGGCUCUGACUACCACCAACAUUCAGAGAACACCCAGCGGCGCCGGGGGGGCGGUACUCCCCUCCGCCGGGGCAAACCGUCGGAAAACACCACCACCACGAAGGUCAUCGUCUAUUGCUCGAGCAAGCACUGUUCCCCUCAAGCCAUCCCGAGGAAGGGGAGUGGCGGCGACGCAUCGGCAGAUCGACUGUAAGUACCCGAUUGGAAACCGAACACCUUGCGAAAAUACUCUAACCGUACCGAGAGCUAAACCAUUGUUAGGCUAGAGAAAUCCUAUAAGAAUCUCCAAAUCACACAACCAAAAUUGAAAUUCAAACCCAGAAAACGUGACGUCACUGUUAGGAGGCACUUUGUAGAAAUCGAUCGAAAGCAAUCAAUUAGGAACAAGACAGAAACGAAAUGCCCCUGAAAGAUUUAAUAAAUUAUGUUUUGAAAACGCGAUCGCCUAGCAUGCAAACUUAGAAUAAUUUCGCUGAAUAAAAUUUUUACCACUCAAAUUUUACCUUACUAAUAUAAUUGGACUUAAUUUUAA
rnacentral:lncRNA from 1 species